rnacentral:tRNA from 3 species
GCCGCACUAGCUCAGCUGGUAGAGCAUCGCAUUCGUAAUGCGGAGGUCAGGGGUUCGAAUCCCUUGUGCGGCACCA